ensembl:lncRNA LINC00928 long intergenic non-protein coding RNA 928
GGUGGGUGAUUCUUUUGGACUAAUUCAUGUGGCUGCAAUUGGAGCUGGAUGAUCUAAAUGGUCUCACUCCUAGGUCUGGCUGUUGAUGUUGGCUGUUGGCUGAGCCAGGGGCCGCCAGCAGGCUAGCAUGGGCUCUUCACUCAGCAGCAGGGUUCCCCAAGAGGACAAGCCCAACACACAUGUGCUUUUCAAGCCUGUGAUUAUCAGGCUUGAAAUACUGCAACAUCUGCUGCAAUCAGUAACAACCACAUAAGAAAGCAAUGACAAGUUAUGAUUACUGCUCUGGAGGGAGUGAGCAGGAUGCUGUGAGAGAGGGUUACUAUUCCAAGUGGCACCUGGGCCAGCAGCAUUGGCAUCACCUGGGACUUGUGAGAAAUCCAGCAUCUCAGGCUCCACUGCAGGUCUCCUAAAUCAGAAUCUACAGUUUAACAAGAUCCCCAGCAGAUGUGUGUGUAAGGUUUAUAGAGAGAAGAUUCAAGCCUCAACAGGCCAGGUCAGUUGGACAAGGUGACUUUUAAGCCCUCUUCUAGCUUCAUGAAAACAGAUCUGAAACUUGCCUGAUCUCAGAAAUGGUAGUAAAAACACCAUGUACCUGAAUGGUCUGGUGGCAGCUCAAGAACCUGUUGAGAGGAGCACCUAGCAUAAGACCUGGCUUGUGACAGCUGCUCGUGGCAUGCCCUUCUCCACUAAGCCAACUUGUUAAACCUCUUCACGGCUGAGAUCAUGCUGCUUUCUUCUUCAGAUCUGCCACCCUCUAGCUGGGUGACUUUUAGACAAGUGAUCGACCUCUCUGAGCCAGAGUUUCUACCUUGUAAAAAAAAAAAAAUCCCUUCCUGCAUGGUCAGCUGUCAUGAAAAGGACACAUGGUGAUGGGCAGACAAAGACAAGGCUUAGCUUCGUGUUUGACUCCUAGGAGCGCCCAGUUCAUGGAGGCUGCUGCUGUCACUAAUCUGUUUCCAUCUUCCCCUGGGAAUCCUGAGGUUUAUCUGUGAGCCUUUGGACUGCUGUAUGGACAACAUACUCUGCAGUAGCAUGAAGAAGUGAGUGAAGACCCUCCCUUGAACCGUUUGCCCUGAAAGAACAGAAGUCACAUCUUGAUAUCUCAGUGCCUUUACAGUGCCAGGGAUGGGGUAGGUGCUGAGCGCCUGGUAUGUGCUCACCCUAUGCUGUACAACACACAGAAAGCCCCACAGGGUUUGAACUGUAAUUAGGUAGAGGGUGUGUGGGACUCGCCUUGGGUCUCUGACUUUGGCUUCUGCUCCCGGCCUUGGAUAGGCUGAUAUUUUCUAGUAGAUAUCAGAGACUCCGGUUGAUAGCACCACAAUGGCUUUUCUCCCAACUUUUUGUUUUACGUAUUAUCAAGCCAACAGAGAAGUUGCAAGAAUAGCACAAUGAACAUGCAUAUACCCUUCACCUGGAUUCACCACUUUUGUUUCAUUUCUCUCAGUAUAUAUGUUUGUGUGUGUUGGAGACAUAUGACAUUUUACCUCGAAACCAGGCAUCUCCUAGGAAAAAGAGCAGCCUCCCAUAUAACAACAAUACAAUGAUAACCCUUAAAAAACUUUGCAUUAAUAAAUCCCAUUAGUUAAUAUAC